UGGGAGCUGUAGACCGGAGCUGUUUCUAUUCGGCCAUCUUGCCAGCAAUUGAUUCUAGAACUUUUUACUCCUCUUCUCGUUAGCUCAAACUACUGGAAGAAACUGGUUAGAUAUGGAAUAUGUUUCCACUGGCUGAAAAAAAUGGUAGUAGCUAUAAGUGGCUUACCUAAAACUCAGCAGGACUACUUUAUGACAUCACCGUUUGCAGGUCUAAGGUAUGAACAAAUCUUCCAUCCGUGAAAUUGUGAAGAAGGAAAGAUAAAUUCGUGUUAGUUUUGCUGUGCACCUUAAACUUCGGAAGUUACCCCAGAGUGCAGGUAGGCACUUAGUUAAGGUGUAAAGAGCAUUAAACUUGUGGAUGGCAGACGUGAAUGGAAACGUGUUCCAACUGACAGCCACUGGGUUUGGUACUAUUCAUGGUUUCAGGUAUCCACUGGGGGUCUUGGAAUAUACUCCCUGCAGAUAAGGAGGACUACUGUACCCAGAGCCAAAAUACUGGCAUAUCCUCAACAUAGCACAGCCCACUACUCUCAUCACAGGCUAUGAUAACAGAUACGGCAUCCAUAAAAAGAGGCUCUCAAAUACAAAAAUGAGCAACUAAAUAACUUAAAAUUAUAACUGUGAAUCACUAAAAUAUUUGAAGAAAGUCAGUAACACGAAAGGCCCUGAACAAACCGUUUUAAAAAGUCAAAAUAACAGCAUAUUAAAGAAGACAUCAAAUAAGUGUAUUUAACAUCCCAAGAGUAUAGAGUAUGGUAUCAUAGCCAUAAAAUAAGUAUAGGUUAUUAUAAAAGAACCAAUCCAAUCUUAGAUAUUGCAAUUAUGGUUGUUAA
rnacentral:lncRNA from 1 species